GGAGUCGGCCAGGCAAUCGUCGCUUAUGUUUCUCGCUACCUCUCUUGAGUGGUAGGGGGUGCAGAGGGGAGGAAAGUCCGGGCUCCACAGGGCAGGGUGCCAGGUAAUACCUGGGGGGCGUGAGCCUACGGAAAGUGCAGCAGAGAGCAGACCGCCGAUGGCCUGAUGUUGAGUCAGGCACAGGUAAGGGUGAAAGGGUGCGGUAAGAGCGCACCGCGCAACUGGUAACAGAUUGUGGCACGGUAAACCCCAUCCGGAGCAAGACCAAAUAGGAAUCCAUUGGCGUGGCCCGCGCUGGAUUCGGGUAGGUUGCUGGAGGUGUACGGUGACGUGCACCCUAGAUGAAUGAUUGCCCAAGACAGAACCCGGCUUAUCGGCUGACUCCGAUU
rnacentral:RNase_P_RNA from 1 species